UACGAAGGGGGCUAGCGUUGCUCGGAUUGACUGGGCGUAAAGGGCGCGUAGGCGGCGUGGUAAGUCAAUUGUGAAAUCUCCGAGCUUAACUCGGAACGGUCAAUUGAUACUGCUGUGCUAGAGUACAGAAGGGGCAAUCGGAAUUCUUGGUGUAGCGGUGAAAUGCGUAGAUAUCAAGAGGAACACCUGAGGUGAAGACGGGUUGCUGGGCUGAUACUGACGCUGGAUGCGGCGAAAGCUAGGGUAGCAAACGGG
rnacentral:rRNA from 1 species